rnacentral:snRNA from 1 species
GUGCUCACUUGGCAUCACAUAUACUGAAAAAAAUUGGAAUAUACAGAGAAGAUUAGCAUGGCCCUUGUGCAAGGGUGACACGCAAAUUCAUGAUGCUUUCCAUAUUAAA